rnacentral:rRNA from 1 species
UACGUAGGGGGCAAGCGUUGUCCGGAAUCAUUGGGCGUAAAGCGCGUGUAGGCGGCUCGGUAAGUCCGCUCUGAAAGUCCAGGGCUCAACCCUGGGAUGCGGGUGGAUACUGCCGGGCUCGAGUCCGGAAGAGGCGAGUGGAAUCCCGGUGUAGCGGUGAAAUGCGCAGAUAUCGGGAGGAACACCAAUGGCGAAGGCAGCUCGCUGGGACGUGGACUGACGCUGAGACGCGAAAGCGUGGGGAGCAAACAGGG